GAAUACCGAUGGCGAAGGCAGCUUCCUGGCAUCAUACUGACACUGAGGCUCGAAAGCGUGGGUAGCAAACAGGAUUAGAUACCCUGGUAGUCCACGCCGUAAACGAUGUCUACUAGUCGUUGGGUCCCUUGAGGACUUAGUGACGCAGCUAACGCAAUAAGUAGACCGCCUGGGGAGUACGGCCGCAAGGUUAAAACUCAAAUGAAUUGACGGGGGCCCGCACAAGCGGUGGAGCAUGUGGUUUAAUUCGAUGCAACGCGAAGAACCUUACCUGGUCUUGACAUACACAGAAUCUUGUAGAGAUACGAGAGUGCCUUCGGGAAUUGUGAUACAGGUGCUGCAUGGCUGUCGUCAGCUCGUGUCGUGAGAUGUUGGGUUAAGUCCCGCAACGAGCGCAACCCUUGUCCUUAGUUACCAGCGGGUUAAGCCGGGAACUCUAAGGAUACUGCCAGUGACAAACUGGAGGAAGGCGGGGACGACGUCAAGUCAUCAUGGCCCUUACGACCAGGGCUACACACGUGCUACAAUGGUAGGUACAGAGGGCAGCUACACAGCGAUGUGAUGCGAAUCUCAAAAAGCCUAUCGUAGUCCAGAUUGGAGUCUGCAACUCGACUCCAUGAAGUAGGAAUCGCUAGUAAUCGCGGAUCAGAAUGCCGCGGUGAAUACGUUCCCGGGCCUUGUACACACCGCCCGUCACACCAUGGGAGUUGAUUGCACCAGAAGUGGUUAGCCUAACUU
rnacentral:rRNA from 1 species